rnacentral:rRNA from 1 species
AUUGAACGCUGGCGGCAGGCCUAACACAUGCAAGUCGAGCGGAUGAAGGGAGCUUGCUCCUGGAUUCAGCGGCGGACGGGUGAGUAAUGCCUAGGAAUCUGCCUGGUAGUGGGGGAUAACGUCCGGAAACGGGCGCUAAUACCGCAUACGUCCUGAGGGAGAAAGUGGGGGAUCUUCGGACCUCACGCUAUCAGAUGAGCCUAGGUCGGAUUAGCUAGUUGGUGGGGUAAAGGCCUACCAAGGCGACGAUCCGUAACUGGUCUGAGAGGAUGAUCAGUCACACUGGAACUGAGACACGGUCCAGACUCCUACGGGAGGCAGCAGUGGGGAAUAUUGGACAAUGGGCGAAAGCCUGAUCCAGCCAUGCCGCGUGUGUGAAGAAGGUCUUCGGAUUGUAAAGCACUUUAAGUUGGGAGGAAGGGCAGUAAGUUAAUAACUUGCUGUUUUGACGGUACCAAAAGAAUAAGCACCGGCUAACUUCGUG